UACGUAGGGGGCUAGCGUUGUCCGGAAUCACUAGGCGUAAAGCGCAGGUAGGCGGUUUGGUAAGUCUUUUGUGAAAGCUCCCGGCUCAACUGGGAGAGGUCAAGGGAAACUACCGGACUAGAGUUCGGUAGGGGAGACUGGGAUUCCUGGUGUAGCGGUGAAAUGCGCAGAUAUCAGGAGGAACACCGGUGGCGAAGGCGGGUCUCUGGGCCGAUACUGACGCUGAGGAGCGAAAGCGUGGGGAGCGAACAGG
rnacentral:rRNA from 1 species